AUGACCAAUGGACAGAGAUGAUAGGUGUUGUAGUUCAACAACAUCCGGAGGGCACCACAUAUCAUUUUGCACUAAGCUGUGCAAGUCCCCUUCAUUUGGAUUUUCUUUCAAACCCACAUCUGCUGUAGCUCUUCCUGGACUUCCUGGAUUUCCUGUAUGCUGGUGGAAGCCAACAUGUGGUGGUGGAGUCUCCUUCUUUGGAGGUCUUUAAGCAGAGGCUUGACAACCAUAUGUCAGGAGUGCUCUGAUGGUGUUUCCUGCUUGGCAGGGGGUUGGACUCGAUGGCCCUUGUGGUCUCUUCCAACUCUAUGAUUCUAUGAUUCUAACAUGUGGCCUGAAAGAUGUUGCUGGACUACAACUCCUACCAGCCCCAGGCUGUAUGGCAAGUGGUCAGAAAUGUUGGACAUUGGAGUCUAACUCCAGCAACAACUGCAAGGUCACAAGUUUCCACACCCCUAGCUUCCACACCCCUAGCACACCUUUCUUUCUGUCUCAUUGUGGCUUGCUAUUUAUUUGAGGGUGGAUGACUGCCCUCAUCUAUUUAUGAACUGGUUAACUUACCACGGUGCAUGUGUGACCACUUUGUAAACCCAUCAUCCUACCAAGGGGUAAGGAGAAAUUUGCCCUUCCAGGCUCCUUUCCUAGUUUUCAUAUCAAGUAAAGAAGAAUAGUAAGAUGGUUAUAAUCAGAUGGUAGAGUGCAUGCUUUGCAUGCCAAAGGUCCUAGGUUCACUCCUUAGCAUCACUAGGUAGAGCUGGGACAUACCCCUGCCUGAAAUCGUGCAGAGUUGCUGUUGGCUAGGAUAAACAAUCAUGAUUUGCUUCAGGUCUGGGGAACUUGUGGCCAUCCAGAUAUUAUUGGACUCCCAACUCCAUCAGCCCCACUCAGGAGAUUCAGUGAUCAGGGAUUGUGAGAGCUGUAGUCCAACAAUAUCUGGAGAAUUACAGACUCCUCAUCCCUGAGCUAGGUGGACCAAUGGUAGCAUGAAAAAACCAUCAAGUCAGACCAUUGGUGCAUCUAGGUCAGCACUGUCAACAUUGACUGUCAGCAAUGCUGCAAGGUUGCAGACAUGGAACAUUCCCAGUCCUACCUGGAGAUGCCAAAGAUUGAACCUGGGAUUUUCUCUAUGUAAAGCAGAUGUUCUAGCCACUGAGUUAUGACGCUUACCAAUAGUCGGACUCAUGUAAGUCAACUUUCCACGUUCCUAAAUUUUCUUGCCAGUUGUCGUGACAAUCCCAGUGACCAAUUUCCCAAGUGGUUACAUGCACACUGUGGGGAAUGUACCAUUUCAUAAACAGUCAACUGCCUGGGCUGAAUGAGUACCUGGAUUCUAGCCAAGAGAGUAGCUAGCUUCUUCAUGCUCAAUUUAGACAGAGGCCUUUGUUAAUAUGAGUGGAGAAAAGUCAGUUAUAUUAUUAACUUGUCUCAGAUAAGACUCUUUUUGGGGGGUGGGGUGGGGGUGGGAAACAACAUAUAUUCCAAUUCAUAAAAAAAUAUAUUUUCAAAGCUGGAUUAUAUUUCUCCCUUUUGUCCCUGUUCCCUGGCUCUUCCCCCACAAAAACCUUGGAACGAUAGAGAAAAAUUAUUUUUUAAAGUAUUGAUAAUUUAUGUUUAAUAUAAAGGAUGACUUAAUGGAAUCACCAAAGGUCACUUAUCCCAUCGGCAUGUCAUGCUCCUUCUUUGUGAUCCCAUCCACGCUCCUUACCCACCGCACACAUAGCCCACUGCUAAGUAAAUGCAUUGUACAGAACGGAGGGGAUGAGCAGUAGGUGACGUGACCUUGGAGGGCGGAAGCCCAAAGUCACUGCCGCUACCACCAAAUGAAAACGUCUCCCUGGAAACUGCUGCCAUCAGAUGGCAAGCUCAUUCCUUGACUUUCAUUUAAAAGAAGCCUUUUUUUACAUACGUGUGUUUGUACACGGUCAAAAAUGUACAUCCUUAGACCCUCGUGUUUAUGUGUACAUCCACAAAUGCACAUCUCUCUCUCAAGUAUAAAUAUAUUGUAUGUUUGAGCUGUAAAUAAUUCUCGGUCAUGUGUCUUCUGUCUUCUCAUAGUAUCAUAUCCUCAGUGUUAUGUUUAACGACGCCAUUUAUUGAUUGAUAAAACCUGUGUGUAGAGCUGUAUCCUCCUGACAUAGUUUAUGUAGACCCCUCUUCUCAAAUAAAGUAC